GAUGAACGCUGGCGGCGUGCCUAAUACAUGCAAGUCGAGCGAACAGAUGAGGAGCUUGCUCCUCUGACGUUAGCGGCGGACGGGUGAGUAACACGUGGAUAACCUACCUAUAAGACUGGGAUAACUUCGGGAAACCGGAGCUAAUACCGGAUAAUAUAUUGAACCGCAUGGUUCAAUAGUGAAAGACGGUUUUGCUGUCACUUAUAGAUGGAUCCGCGCCGCAUUAGCUAGUUGGUACGGUAACGGCUUACCAAGGCAACGAUGCGUAGCCGACCUGAGAGGGUGGUCGGCCACACUGGAACUGGGACACGGUCCAGACUCCUACGGGAGGCAGCAGUAGGGAAUCUUCCGCAAUGGGCGAAAGCCUGACGGAGCAACGCCGCGUGAGUGAUGAAGGUCUUCGGAUCGUAAAACUCUGUUAUUAGGGAAGAACAAAUGUGUAAGUAACUAUGCACGUCUUGACGGUACCUAAUCAGAAAGCCACGGCUAACUACGUG
rnacentral:rRNA from 1 species